UACUGUUGAUGAUGUUAAUUGAAAUACAAUGGGAAUCUCUCUGAGAUGGUAUGAAAGACAUUUGAACGUUACUGAACCAGUA